rnacentral:rRNA from 1 species
CCUACGGGGAGGCAGCAGUAGGGAAUCUUCCGCAAUGGACGAAAGUCUGACGGAGCAACGCCGCGUGAGUGAUGAAGGCUUUCGGGUCGUAAAACUCUGUUGUUAGGGAAGAACAAGUGCUAGUUGAAUAAGCUGGCACCUUGACGGUACCUAACCAGAAAGCCACGGCUAACUACGUGCCAGCAGCCGCGGUAAUACGUAGGUGGCAAGCGUUAUCCGGAAUUAUUGGGCGUAAAGCGCGCGCAGGUGGUUUCUUAAGUCUGAUGUGAAAGCCCACGGCUCAACCGUGGAGGGUCAUUGGAAACUGGGAGACUUGAGUGCAGAAGAGGAAAGUGGAAUUCCAUGUGUAGCGGUGAAAUGCGUAGAGAUAUGGAGGAACACCAGUGGCGAAGGCGACUUUCUGGUCUGUAACUGACACUGAGGCGCGAAAGCGUGGGGAGCAAACAGGAUUAGAUACCCUGGUAGUCCACGCCGUAAACGAUGAGUGCUAAGUGUUAGAGGGUUUCCGCCCUUUAGUGCUGAAGUUAACGCAUUAAGCACUCCGCCUGGGGAGUACGGCCGCAAGGCUGAAACUCAAAGGAAUUUGACGG